AAGAGCUGGAGGACCAGGAAACAGGACCGAAGGAUCAUGAACGGAAGUAAACAAGCUGCCCACGGCCGGGUUUAGGUCUAGGCUUGACCUCAACUUGCCCGUCCUAAAGCAGAAAUGGAAAUACGGUCGCAGACUAAAAUUCCUCACGGCAGCAGGACCAAGGCUUUUCCUUGUAAGCUUCCACCCUGCAUCGGUUUUGCUAUUUUUAAGAACAUGAGCUGAGCCCACAAAGGUGAGCGAACCAAGUGUUAUUAAACCAACACAGGAUUCUGAGUUAGCUGUGCCACCCCCUGCCUGGGCAUCGCCGCCUCCGCCC